rnacentral:rRNA from 1 species
CCCUUCGGGAGGCAGCAGUGGGGAAUAUUGCGCAAUGGGGGGAACCCUGACGCAGCCAUGCCGCGUGAAUGAAGAAGGCCUUCGGGUUGUAAAGUUCUUUCGGUAAUGAGGAAGGGAUGUUAUUAAAUAGAUAGCAUCAUUGACGUUAAUUACAGAAGAAGCACCGGCUAACUCCGUGCCAGCAGCCGCGGUAAUACGGAGGGUGCGAGCGUUAAUCGGAAUAACUGGGCGUAAAGGGCACGCAGGCGGACUUUUAAGUGAGAUGUGAAAUCCCCGAGCUUAACUUGGGAACUGCAUUUCAGACUGGGAGUCUAGAGUACUUUAGGGAGGGGUAGAAUUCCACGUGUAGCGGUGAAAUGCGUAGAGAUGUGGAGGAAUACCGAAGGCGAAGGCAGCCCCUUGGGAAUGUACUGACGCUCAUGUGCGAAAGCGUGGGGAGCAAACAGGAUUAGAUACCCUGGUAGUCC